UCAGGAGUUCAUCGGCUAAAUUCAUACAAGAACCUAUGACCAAUCUACAUGAUUAACAUAUUACUAAAUUGAAGGCAUUACUCAACAACCUAAUCCCCACACUUCUUACAAUCACCAAAAUUCCUAAGCAUGCAUAUGUGCCCAGAACUUUAAUUCAUUUUUAAUAGAUGGUCCAAAAUAGUCCGAGAUAAGAAGGAAAUUACUACAGAACUUAACAUGAUCAAACUAACUAAAACCUCUUUUGGAGAAUACAUACAUUCAAACUUCAAAACUAUAGAAUAGAUAGAAGAGAAAUAAACACAGAACAAGUGAAGUCCAUAAAUAGUGCCAUAUUUAUUUCUUUCUCAAAUCAUUCUUCAAUUUACAUGUUUAAGUGUAAUCUAUGAGGAUGGAAGUAUACCUGAAAAUAGGAAAAAAAACAGCGAGGAAGAAUUAGUAGUAGGAAAUAAUAGGGGUCAGCAGCAAAAUAGCUAGCAAAACAGACUUUAAACCCAGAAGUGAUGUGUGGUAGCCCAGAGUAACCAAUUCAAACGAUUGACAAACUAGCAAACUUUAAACCAGAUUUAACACGCUCGAUUUCAAUCCAUUUCAGACCCCAAAUGAAGAACAUGUUCUUCAGAGAUUAAACAAUAACAAAUUACCCAAAUGAAAUGAAGUAGUAAAAAAAUACUGCAGUCGUUUAAUAUUUUUGGAAUUUUCAGCUUUUUCUGUAUGAAGCAGUGAGUUUUUUUUCCAGUUUUUCUAUCUAGAUUUCCAACUCUAAAAAUUCUUCCCCUAUAGCAAGGAAAAGAUCCCUUAAUAUGCAAGAAAGUAGGGCAACCUUGAAGGUUUAGUUAUUUCCUUUUAAUCAUUUUCAAAUUUUUCUUUUUGCAAUUUUGUCUUUUAUUUUCCGACUUGUUCCCCAAUUUCUACUAUCUAAAUCCUGAAAUUCAAAUCAAAACCCCAGCCUUAAAGCUUCUCUUUCUAUUACACUAAGUUUCCCUAACCUGAAUUGCCCAAAUUAACCUUUUGCCCUCUGAAAAUUACCCUAAUGGGUCCACUGACCCUAACUUGAAUCCCUAUUUGGGCUAUUGCUAUUUGCAAAUCAAUUACAAUACUUAUGGGACCAAAUUAGAGCUAAACUAAAAUUUUCCAAGCUAACCAACAUAGAAAAAAACAAGAGGCAGAAUUAAUGAGCUAACCAAUCUGAUUUCAUAAGAGCAAAUUAACUCAGAUAUGGAUCUAAUUUUACUGGCUAGGCGAUUACACUGAUGAUAGUGAAAAAUAAUAAUUAUGCCGUUAACACCGUCAAGCAAACUACAGAAAUCAAAGGCCAAGCGUUUCUCAAAAAAGAAGAAUAAGAUAACAAGGUCAGCGACAAAACAAACUCGACCUCCGACAUCCGAAAUGAAUGUAGAAAAGUGAUGGACGAGGAUAAGACUUACUAGACUAACACCAAAAACCUAUCAUAGAUUUAUGACAGAACUCGCACUCCUCAUGCACGAGCGACCUUUCAUAUAUUCGGCCUCCCCUCAAAGCUGAUUGACUCACGCGUGUUUAGAGCCGAGAAAAGCUAGGUCGGGCAGAGUUCAAUUAGAAGAAAAUAAAGAGCAAUCCAGUGCCAAUUUCAGUUUUUGCUUCAAAGAAGAUAAAUAGUCUGAGUGGGGGGAAUAAUGAUAGAUUUGGAGUAGACCGGUGACAGUAGUUAGAUGUUCACAUUUUGAGAAUGUUUGGGGUUCAUACGCCCGUGAAAAAUGGCGGAAUUCCUAAGGCCAACUAAGGUUAGGAAGUAGAAGAG
rnacentral:lncRNA from 1 species